GUCCUGUUUGGUUGCUGAGCCAAACCAGUGAUGGAGGCCCAGAGAACAAACAGGAGUCUUGUGGGUCCCAGGAUACAGCACCUGUGGCCUGCUGUUUGCAAUGGAGUCAAGCGCGUGUUGCAGUCUCCUCCACAGCCCCGACUCCAGGCUGAUCUGGACACAUUCACUGAAGGCCAUACACCCUGAACAGAACAUAACUACAUCCCAAACCAGUCAUGGGAGACUGGGAAGACUGAGUCCUGCCAACCCGCUUCAAAACAUUGAGGUCAGCCACACCCAGCACCAUGCCAGCCACCCACCUCCUGCCUUCACGCUGACAUUCAGCUCUGUGGAGACC